UUUGUUUUUGUAUUUUACAAUUAUCUUGUUUUGCUUUUGGCAAGACAGAACAGAAUUUCUGACAUAUUUAUUUUUUUUCCCUCCUUUGCUUGUUAUUUUUUGGCAAUGGAGUAAAAUUUUUCUGUGGAGUAAUCCCUUUCCUUCUAAUAGAAGGUUCAGCUCAAAACAUCUAAAUUUUUGUUAUUUCAUGCAUUCCCUCUUCCUUUUCCCCUCCUUGCUGGACUUUUUGAUAAUAGAUUGUUGGCUUUUUCUAUUGGUUCUUGGGAAAACUAUUGAAAAGGAAGUCAACAACAGUAAUCAAACUGAAUUAUAGCAAAGCUCUGGCUUUCAGCUCACAAUUGCUACAGAAAUGGGGCUCAAUUCAUUAUAAACUAUAGGCACAUAUAAGUGGAUUUUCCCCCCUGUAUUUGGCUGGUUACUUGAUGAUUUCUUUCUUACAGGUUCUUUUUUGCAGGAAAAUUUAACAGCCAAGUCCUGUCUGCCUACAUGGGAGACCCCAUUGCCCUUAACUUUGGGAGAAACAGGUGCUAUGAAAGGAGAAUAAUCAGUGCUGCAUUAAGGUAACACCCACUGACUGUGCACUGGGGUAGACAACUUUCUGAGUGAAGAACUGACCAUUUGGGGACAGUGCUCAG